GUGAGGAAUUUUCCGCAAUGGGCGAAAGCCUGACGGAGCAAUGCCGCGUGAAGGAUGAAGGCCUAUGGGUUGUAAACUUCUUUUCUCAGAAAAGAAUUAUGACGGUAUCUGAGGAAUAAGCAUCGGCUAACUCUGUGCCAGCAGCCGCGGUAAGACAGAGGAUGCAAGCGUUAUCCGGAAUGAUUGGGCGUAAAGCGUCUGUAGGUUGUUUAAAAAGUAUUCUGUCAAAGAUUAGGGCUUAACCCUAGAUAGGCAGAAUAAACUUUUAAGCUAGAGUUUGGUAGAGGCAGAGGGAAUUCCCGGUGGAGCGGUGAAAUGUGUAGAUAUCGGGAGGAACACCAAAGGCGAAGGCACUCUGCUGGGCCAAUACUAACACUGAGAGACGAAAGCGAGGGGAGCAAAUGGGAUUAGAUACCCGAGUAGUCC
rnacentral:rRNA from 1 species